GACGAACGCUGGCGGCGUGCUUAACACAUGCAAGUCGAACGGAAAGGCCCUGCUUUUGUGGGGUGCUCGAGUGGCGAACGGGUGAGUAACACGUGAGUAACCUGCCCUUGACUUUGGGAAAACUUCAGGAAACUGGGGCUAAUACCGGAUAGGAGCUCCUGCUGAAUGGUGGGGGUGGGAAAGUUUCGGCGGUUGGGGAUGGACUCGCGGCUUAUCAGCUUGUUGGUGGGGUAGUGGCUUACCAAGGCUUUGACGGGUAGCCGGCCUGAGAGGGUGACCGGCCACAUUGGGACUGAGAUACGGCCCAGACUCCUACGGGAGGCAGCAGUGGGGAAUAUUGCACAAUGGGCGGAAGCCUGAUGCAGCAACGCCGCGUGCGGGAUGACGGCCUUCGGGUUGUAAACCGCUUUCGCCUGUGACGAAGCGUGAGUGACGGUAAUGGGUAAAGAAGCACCGGCUAACUACGUG
rnacentral:rRNA from 1 species